rnacentral:misc_RNA from 1 species
UCACACCUUGCGGUGGCAGUCCCGCUAGAGUCCCCAGCAUAACCUGAUGGCAACUAACGGCAAGGGUUGCGCUCGUUAUGGCACUUAAGCCGACACUUCACAGCACGAGCUGACGACAACCAUGCAGCACCUCGACAGAUGUCCGAAGACUUGAAUAUCUCUACUCAAUUCAUCUGCCGUUCGAGCCCGGGUAAGGUUCCUCGCGUAUCAUCGAAUUAAACCACAUGGUCCUCCGCUUGUGCGGGCCCCCGUCAAUUCCUUUGAGUUUCAACCUUGCGGUCGUACUCCCCAGGUGGAUGACUUAUCGCUUUCGCUUGGCCACCGACUGUGUAUCGCCGACGGUUAGUCAUCAUCGUUUACAGCGUGGACUAC